GCGUUGGUGGUUUAGUGGUAAAAUUAGCCGUUGCCAGGUUUCCUACUAGGAUAUCAACAACAUCGGCUAGCCCCGGGUUCGAUUCCCGGCCGACGCA